rnacentral:tRNA from 1 species
GCCAUUGGGAAAAAUGGGGACGGACUGUAAAUUCGUUGGCAAUAUGUCUACGCUGGUUCAAAUCCAGCU